rnacentral:lncRNA from 1 species
UUUUUUUUUUUUUUUUUAAACUCUGAACUCACCUGAGAUUUCCAGCUGCUUUCACAGUCGUAAAGGCUGCUGUACUCUGGGAAGGAAAUAUACAAUUUUCAGAACUUACAGUCAAUAACUGUCUGUUUAUGUAAGCACAGGAUUGAUAGAUUAAUGUUUGGGUUACAUGUGCCCAGUGGGUAAAGGACCAGAUAAGGAGAGAGGAGCCUGGUGUCUUCUUUCAUCUCUCUCACCUGGUCAGGCUGUCACCCUUUCCCGCUGCUCCUGGAGUUCCUUCUCCUGAAUGCCGCUUAGUCACAUCACUCCACUGUUCCCACUUUCAGCAGCUCGAAGCACCUCUAGCUCAGAGUUGCAGUUCCUCCUCAGUGUGGCCUAAGAAGCCAUUCAUGACUUGGCUCCUUCACCUCUCCUCCUCCCACCAGUCCCCAGUCCACCUAACUCAGAAACAUGGUGUCCACCCAACCCCGUCACCAGAAGGCAGCACGACUGCUUCUGUCCUUACCGUUGUAGUUUUGAGCUGACAAGACCACUUUAGGCAUCACUGGGGAGGCAUCACCUGCCUUUCCCCAGCAGAACUAGUUAACCAGCAACCUCUGCUCUCCGGACACUGCACACUGCACAGGCUGGGCAGUGAUUGCCUCCCACGCUGGACUGCGAGUUCCCUCCUUUGGGGCAGCCUCGUUGAUCUCUGCACCCCUAGGUGUAUAUCCUCAAAUGAAUAAAUGCACCAGCCUUCUCUCAGAGGGUUGUAUAAGGAUUAAUAUUAGUAAAAGCUAAAAAUUACUGAGUAAUAUUGUUUGCCAGACACUGUUCUAAGCAUAGUAAAUAUAUUAACUCAUGAAUCCUCACAACUCUGAUAUAUUCUUAGUAUUUUAUAGAACAGGACAUUUUAAGACUAAGAUAAUACAGCUGGUAAGAGACAGAUGUGGAUCUCAAACCUAGGCCUUCCUGACUCCGGUGCCUUGUCCUUAACUAUGAUAUGUGUGUUCAAACUCCUGACCCAGAGCCAGGAGUUUUUGUCUUUGUUUUUUUCAUUAGGAGUAGCAUGAUGAAAAGGAAUGCUUAUCAAAUGUUGCUAUCUUCUCUUUUAAGUGAACUCAAGCCCCUGCCCCUCAACAAGCCUUCCCAAGCUACCCAGCUCCCUUUCGCUGACUCCUUUGUGUGUACAACUCACGUGGUCUUUGGCUGCUAUGAAUCUUUGGGGGGCUGUGUUUCCCCUGUUCCCAUGAGUGGUGAACUCCCCUUUGUGUAGCACAGUGCACCCUGCAUCCUUGUGUCCUCUUUAAGGCUGAUGGUGCCCCAAACAUGGAUGGAACAAGGACAGCAGAGUCCAUGGGCACAAGUGACAGGAGGGAGUGGGACAAGGCACCCUGGACACAGCCCAGGGAGGGAAAACAGAGGUGAGGGAAGGUACUGGCCCUGUGCCUACAGGCCUCUGGGAGUCCCUUGCUACCCUCUCCAGGAUCAAAGGUAAAAUUGAUGAGCCUUGGUGACUGGCUAGCCAUGGGAAUGAGAUCUUCACUGGAGGGAUCCAGGAAAACUAUGACUUCGUUGUGCUGCCUUCCACUGGGACAGGGGAUAUAGACGGAGCCGACUUAUGUGGAAAUGGGAGUUUGAUUUUGGACAUGCUGGGCUUAAGGUGAGAACUGGACAUCAUGGUUCCAUCUGCACUUGUAUGGAAGAAGAAUCUAGGUGUCUUUCCUUGAACCCUUUCCUUUGCUCCCUCUAG